rnacentral:rRNA from 1 species
AUUGAACGUUGGCGGCAGGCCUUAGACAUGCAAGUCGAACGGUAACAGCAGAGCUUGCUCUGGCUGACGAGUGGCGGACGGGUGAGUAACGCGUAGGAAUCUACCCAGUAGCGGGGGAUAGCCCGGGGAAACCCGGAAUAAUACCGCAUACGCCCCACGGGGGAAAGAGGGCCUCUUCUUGAAAGCUCUCACUAUUGGAGGAGCCUGCGUUGGAUUAGCUAGUUGGUGGGGUAAAGGCCUACCAAGGCGACGAUCCAUAGCUGGUCUGAGAGGACGACCAGCCACACUGGAACUGAGACACGGUCCAGACUCCUACGGGAGGCAGCAGUCAGGAAUAUUUUGCAAUGGGGGAAACCCUGACAAAGCCAUGCCGCGUGUGUGAAGAAGGCCUUAGGGUUGUAAAGCACUUUCAGUAGGGAGGAACUAGCAGCGUUAAUACCGCUGUGAGAUGACGUUACCUACAGAAGAAGAUCCGGCUAACUCCGUGCCAGCAGCCGCGGUAAUACGGAGGGAUCGAACGUUAAUCGGAAUUACUGGGCGUAAAGCGCGCGUAGGUGGUUUGUUAAGUGGGAUGUGAAAGCCCCGGGCUCAACCUGGGAACUGCAUUCCAAACUGACAAACUAGAGUACGAUAGAGGGGGGUAGAAUUCAGAGUGUAGCGGUGAAAUGCGUAGAUAUUCUGAGGAAUACCGGUGGCGAAGGCGGCCCCCUGGAUUGAUACUGACACUGAGGUGCGAAAGCGUGGGGAGCAAACAGGAUUAGAUACCCUGGUAGUCCACGCCGUAAACGAUGUCUACUAGCCGUUGGGAGGCUUGACCUCUUAGUGGCGAAGCUAACGCGAUAAGUAGACCGCCUGGGGAGUACGGUCGCAAGAUUAAAACUCAAAUGAAUUGACGGGGGCCCGCACAAGCGGUGGAGCAUGUGGUUUAAUUCGAUGCAACGCGAAAAACCUUACCAGGCCUUGACAUCCAGAGAACUUACCAGAGAUGGU